UGAAAGGGUCCCCAUUUCUCUCACUCACUGCAGGUCGAUGCAGGGCUCCCUGCCAGUCCCGCUCUCAAUGCCAUUUGGUUCGCUGAUUGCAGCUCUCAGAGCUUUCGCGCAUCUCUCUACCUGCCGUGUGGAUUGGGACACAGUAUCGGUAGCAGGAAAUUCAAAUUGCGGCUUCCAAUGGUGUGGGAUCCAGCUUCUGUACUGAGAUUUUUUCUGUUCCUGUUAUAGCAUCAGAAUUGCAUUUCCAGUUGGUUUCUCUCAGCUUAGUUCGUUCCUGGGCCAGCAGGGUACAUCUCCCCUCGCGUAGGACUCCUCACACGGCACCGUUCCUGGAUUCUAAACUGGUAAUCUCAGAGAGCCUCCAUGGCUGCUGUUAUUUGUCCAUCAUGUUCUUCUGGAAGUCCCCUCUCAGUAUGUUUUAUUCCACAAGUAAUUGCGGCUCACCUAGUGUGCCCAAAUGUGAGGAAAAAUGAACAAAUACUAGAAUGAACCAGGUAUGCUUUCUGUCUUUAAGGAGCUUAUCAUUUUGUAAAAAAGAUGAAGCAAUCUCAGAAAGCACAAGGCAAUGUGAAAAAAGAAAGCAAAGCAAAGCAAACUGAGCUAAGCACUACAGACAACAUAGGUGAGAUGCUCUGGACAGAGGAAAGAGCGGGCUCGGGGUUUGAGGAGGUGUGCACUCACGGGAGGAGGCCAGGGGUCACAGAAUGAACAGGACACCAGAGGCAGAGGCACGGCAGAGGCACUGAGAGAUGACAGAGCAAACAGCAGAGAGAUUUCCUUCCCAGGCAAAGGGUGUUGACUGCGUUCAGAAGUGGUUGGUCCAGUCUGGCUGGAAUGUGGCAUGUGAGGAGUGAGAUAAGUCUGGACCAGUUUUCAUAUUAAAGUUGUUCACUGAGGAACAGUGGACAGACCUUAGCAGUCGGGAUGAUGGUAAGAGAGAAAAACACAUCCUCAUUCCCAGUCUUAAAAUAGAUCCUGUUGCCCAUGCAAAUGAAAAGGCAUUUUAAUGUUCGGUGUUGCAACUGUUAUUAGCCAGUUAUAGAUCAUGUGUGCAGCUUACUCAAGACUCUGAGUUCAAUCUAAAGCACCAAAUGACAGUGUUUGUCCCGAACAGCCCUGUCCCUUCCAUCAUCAUCUUUUGCGCCAGCAUCACCAAUUCUCACCCCACUCCCUGUGUUCUGGCUUCACAUGCAUAAAUUCUUCAUCUUCAAAUAGCUUGCUCUUGUCCACCCUAGUAGUCUCAGCAUGGUCAGAGCAAAACCUUUGUAAGCACACAAUGAAUUCUUUUAAAUGGGUAAAUGGUUUUAGGUUGUCAUCACUUCUUGCUUGUCAAGGGAUGUCUUUUCAGCCACUCUUAUUUCACCUUUUCUCCAUAUCGCUAAAAUUUUAAUCCAUUAAAAUUUGACUCUCAAUUACCAAUAAAUUCCUGAGGAAAAAAGCCCCAACAUCUGAGAAUGAUCUGACACAGAUAAAUCAUAUGGUUCUCCUAUAGAACCUCCUAUAGAACCUCCUAUAGAACCUCCAGGAUCCCAGGGUGAUCGGAGACAAGUGGCAGCAAUUAAUUGCCAGAGGCAAGCAGGUUGAUUACUUUGACGGAUAGUAAAGUCAGCAGUUAAUCAGAAUAGCCUGACCCACAAUGCUGGCUAGUUGAUUACACUGUUCCUACAAGUUAAAUAUGUGUACAAUCUACUAAGUCUUCCAUUCUAUGUGCAACUGCAGGAAUUUUAGGUCAAGUGAACAGAAAUCUAGACUGAAUCAUAAAAAGGAAAGCCAUAGCCCUUCAUUUGACUACUGGAUUUGACCCAGAUUACAGACCCAGAACCCACUGGAGCAGAGGCCAGGUCCACGUAGGAAAGGACUCUGGACUUGUCAACCUUUUAAAGACGUUCAAACCAGGAAAAUUCAUGAAGAAGGUCAUGCCGUGGCUCAGUCACCUUCCAUGGAUGCCUUCUGGACUUGGGAACCUGCAAAACAAAGGCUGGUCAGUACUGGAUAAAAGAGAGGCCUGUGAAAGGUGGCACUCAGUGGUAUAUAAUUAAAGGCUGCUUGGAGGACACAUCAGAGUGUUUAAGAGAACACAAAUAGUCAUGAGACUUGCUAUACUUAACCGCCGCCUUCAACCUCUGUGCAAUGUCUGAAGAAAUGGCCCAGACUCAAGUAGGUCAGUGUCAGAGCAUGGCCUGUUUUCACAAGAUGGCAGCCACGGACAACUAGCCCACUUCAGACUUUUGCAAGUCAUGGAGCUUACAACCUGAAGUAGACGUGGCAUUCAAAGUGCCCAACUGCUCUCCAUCUGCCUCCAACACCAUCUGUCUCCUCUCUUCCCUCUACUUAAUUCCAUUUCCUGCCACAGGCAAUCUCAAGGUUACAAAGAAGUAAAAAGACAUCCCCAAGUCAAACUAAGCACAUUGGUUCUAGUUAGUUUCUCUAUAUAUUUCCAUAUUGCAAAUGUAUUUAUGCAUGAAUUGGAUCACAAGGUGCCAAAUGACCUGCAAGAGAUCAUUCAGUUCCCAAAACAAAUUGCCUUCUUCCUGUGGAGCAAUUUAUGGUAUGGGAGAAACUGAUGUAACAAAUACCAUAGGGAAUAAAAUAAGCCGUGAGUCAAUAAACCAGGCAGGUGACAACUACGUGCUCAAAUGGCAAAAAGACAAGAUGAGGGUUGGCAUUCAUUCUUCCACUGGCACCAGAAUUUGUUCAAAUCCUGCCUGUCCUUGCCUUAACCAUCCCUGUGUGCUGUUUAAUAUUGGUAGAGUAAGCAAUUCUAGUUAAACAGGAGAACAGGCUCUCAUCCAUAAAGAGUUUAAAAGAGAUGUGAAUGUAUUUUAAAUUACAUUUCACAUUUUUUGAUAUAUUAUGUACUCUAUUAUUCCAAUUCAGUGCCCUAGUUUUGCAACCUAAAGACUAUUGAUUUAAAUUUAAAAAAAGAAAAACAGGAAAGACUGUUGUCUGUUAGGAUAACACAGUCCAGAAAUUAUAUUGCUACUUCUUCUCCAACCAUCCUCAAGAAGAUUUAUAGUAUUUUGCUAGGGUGACUAUGCUAUGGGGGAAAGGAAAUAAUCUGACUUUUCAGGAACACUGGCACUGACUGACAAUUCAAAGGACACAAAAUGUCACUUGGGCCCACCAGAGUAGGUGCUUACGGAGGUCAGGUGACCAAUGCAGUUUUAGCUCUGGUCCAUUUUUCAGUGAGCCCAGUGGGCCCUGGAGCCUGUCCUGCAGUUAUUUCUGCAGUUUAGGGUUGUAUAAUUGGAAAAGACCUGCUCAACAGCUGCAUAAUUCACUUCAGUCCCCCGACCUGUGGACAAGGGUUAUUAUGAUGAGAAAGAGUCCAGUGGAAGACACUGGAACUGCUUCCACCUAGAAAAAUAAUAAACUCAAAAUAAUACCACAUCUCUGGAGGGAUUUUCAAGAUUAGUGUCACUAUCAAGGACAUGAAAGGUAGAGGGGUGAUUUCCACUGCCUCACCAUUCAGCUCGUCCAUUUGGUCUGUGUGGAAGACAAGAUACAGUUUGGACAGGGACACAGAUUUCAUAGGUUUAACCAUGUGGUGACUCCAACUGCAGUGGCUGCACCAGAUAUGGUUUCACAGCUAGAGCCAAUCAACACAUUCCCCAGGAGCAGGCAUGCAGCUGUUGGUCUGGCAAAUGCUUUUUGUGCAUAUUUAUCAAUACAGCCUCCAGGGGCAGUUUGUUUUCAGCUGACAUGAUCAGACAUACACCUUUAUGGUCUUAUCUCAGGUUAUAUCAAGUCUCCAGCCUGUCAUCAUUUCAUUCAUAUUUUUUUUUUUUUAACACAAAGUUUUGCUGUAUAGUUGAAGUCGGCAUUGAACUCACUAUGUAGCUAAGAUUGGCCUUGAACAUGCAGUGGUCUUUCUGCCUCAGCCUCCCAAAGUGUGUGGACACAGGUGUGUGCCACCAUGCUUGGCUCUGUUCAUAAGGAUCUUGGUUGCCUUUCCCCUCCAAUAAAAUGUCACAGUAAUCUACUCCAUUGACAGCAUGAUACUGACUGGACCUAGAGAGCAAGAAGUGGCAACAACUUCAACGGUAAGGUCCAUACAAGCCAGGGAUUAGAAAACAAACCCAACAAAAUUCAGAGGGCCUUGUGUCUCAGCAGACACCUCCGAGGCUGGUGGAAGGGGGCAUGCAGAGUUAGCGCCCCCUGGAGCUGAAGGACAAGCUGCUGCUGCUGCACCAGGCCCUCCUACAACUGAAACAGACACACCACCUAGCAAGCCUCUGGGUUUUGGAGGCUCCUCUUCAUUCGGAUGCAUUGCUCCAGCCCCUUAGCCAAGAGCCUGAGAAGCUGAUACCUCUGAGUGUGCUCAGAAGAAAACCAGGCUCUGCAUCCGUGGAGGCUGCCAGUCAAGCUGCUGUGACUCGUGGACCACACAGUCCUGCAGAUCUGUGGUGCUCGCUGGCAGUGACAGAAGUUGGAGUCCUGGGCAGAGCCCUCUAGGUGCACUGCAGUAAGCCUUCACGAUUUUGGAGCAAAGCCUACAUCCUCUGUGGAUAACUAGUGCUCUUUAGAGAAACAACUCCUGGUUUGCCACUGGGCCUUACAGAAGGUAAACACUCAACCAUAGGCCACCAAGUUAAUGUGACACCUGAACUGCCCUUGUGGGGGGGGGGUGAUCUGAUGCACCCAGCCACAAAUCUGGGCACGCAGGGCAGCACUCGACCAUCGAGGGGACAUGGGGGAGACUGGGCCUGAGCCGAUGCUCAGAGCACAGCUAAGUCCUGCGAAGAGGCUCAAAACCUUGUAGUGCUAUUCUUCCCGCAUUCCUUCUCCUAGCAGUACCAAAGACUUCAGAGGUGCUCCCUAUGAUCCACUGAAGGAAAAUGGGUCUGGUGUGCAGCUGUUUCUGCAGGAUAUGUGGGCACAGCCAGCAAGCGGGAGGCUGUAGACUGCAGCUCUCUCGGGUGGAAACCCCUCCCAGCGGUGAGGGCAGAGCCUCCCAGCAGCAGAACUUCAGUCAGUCUGUCACAGGCUGGUGACAAGGAAGUCUCAGGAAAGAGUGUGAACAGACCUCUCCAAAUGGGUGAAAACAUGAAGAUGUUUGCAUCCCAUGGCAACACUCACAUGGGUGACCUUGGCCAAGCAGCGCCUUAACAAUCAGGCGGAAAGGAAGUAUUGUGUGGGUUGCAGUCCACCUCCUCCCUCACCUUGUUUUAAGCUCAGCUCUCAGGUAGUUUGUUUUGCAGCAGGACUUUUACUCACUCGUCUUCACUGUACUUUAUUGUGCCUCUCACCUUCUCUUCUAUGGCCCCCCAAUUUCAUAUCCUACAUCACCCCUCUUCCUGUAGCCACCUGUUUUCCCAGCAAUAGGGAAAACCUAAUUCUACCUAGUAAUGUAUAACUUGUUUGGGACAGUUCCAGUUUACGCCUAUCUCCCCUAUAUAUGUAUACACACAGAGACCUUGAGUCCAAUGCUGGGACUGAACAGGGGCCCCUCGCCAUGCAGCCCACUACACAUAAGUCCCUCCAGUUAUUAAUAGGGCCUUCUUUCAGAGUUUCCCUUCCUUUCUCCCUGUCUCUUUCUCUGGGGAUCAAGCUCAUGUGAGGCAAACACUGUACUCAUGUGCUAUAUUUCUACAACUGAAACUGUCCAAUGUUAGUCAAUAAAUCAUGUGGCUAUCCUGUGUUUAA